AAUUAUAUAAACUUGGUCAUAAAAUACAUAGAAUCUUAGUGACAAAAGGAUUUAAAUGACAAAGUAAACUGACAUCUCCUUGUUUCUCAACCAUGGGCACUAGGAUGAAAGUACCCCUGUGAGCAACCAUAGGCUGGCCCUCACCAUGCUCAUCAAAAUCGUGAAAUCUUUGGGAUGUGCCUAUGGUUGCGGAGAAGGACAUCGAGGGCUCUCUGGAGAUCGUCUGAGACACCAGGUAUUCCGAGAGAAUGCCCAGAACUGCCUCACUAAGCUAUACAAGCUAGAUAAGAUGCAGUUCCGACAAACCAUGAGGGAUUAUGUAAACAAGGAUUCUCUCAAUAAUGUAGUGGACUUCUUGCAUGCUUUGCUAGGAUUUUGUAUGGAGCCAGUCACCGACAACAAGGCUGGGUUUGGCAACAACUUCACCACGGUAGACAACAAAUCCACAGCCCAAAAUGUGGAAGGCAUUAUUGUCAGUGCCAUGUUUAAGUCCCUCAUCACACGCUGCGCUUCAACCACGCAUGAGCUGCACAGCCCCGAGAAUCUGGGGCUAUAUUGUGACAUUCGUCAGCUGGUCCAGUUUAUCAAAGAAGCUCACGGGAAUGUCUUCAGGAGAGUGGCUCUUAGCGCGUUGCUUGACAGUGCUGAGAAGUUAGCACCAGGGAAGAAGGUGGAGGACAAUGAGCCAGAGCCUAAGCCUGCAGGCAGUAAAAGGUUGGAAGCUUGAGCUCUCUUAACAUUCAUGUUUGCCUUGUGUCGGUAUAGUAUUGUGUCUGUAGGGUCCUGGACAUGGUUUAACUUUAGUA
rnacentral:lncRNA from 1 species